CAGAGUUGAAAAACUCCCCUAAACCAUUGUGAACCUACCACUAAACAGUUGCUUCGGCGGGUGGGCGCCCUCCCCCCCCAAGGGGGAAGGCGCCCCGCUAGACCGCCCGCCGGAGGUACCCAAAACUCUUGUUUAACUAAAGGCCUCUCUGAGUACUGUACUUAAAUAAGUCA
rnacentral:misc_RNA from 1 species